AAGACUAUACUUUCAGGGAUCAUUUCUAUAGUUCGUUACUAGAGAAGUUUCUCUGAACGUGUAGAGUACCCGAAACCACGAGGAGGAGGCGUAGUGUUCUCUCCUGAGCGUGAAGUUGGCUUUUAGUGCUGUUUUUAUAGCUACUGAUUGCCAUUGAUGAUCGUUCUUUCUCCUCUUUAGGGGAGUAAGAGGGAGAGGACACAGUCUGAGUGGU